UGCCCUUCACUCUGGGACAAGCCCUGGAAACGGGGUCUAAUACCGGAUACUGACCCUCGCAGGCAUCUGCGAGGUUCGAAAGCUCCGGCGGUGAAGGAUGAGCCCGCGGCCUAUCAGCUUGUUGGUGAGGUAAUGGCUCACCAAGGCGACGACGGGUAGCCGGCCUGAGAGGGCGACCGGCCACACUGGGACUGAGACACGGCCCAGACUCCUACGGGAGGCAGCAGUGGGGAAUAUUGCACAAUGGGCGAAAGCCUGAUGCAGCGACGCCGCGUGAGGGAUGACGGCCUUCGGGUUGUAAACCUCUUUCAGCAGGGAAGAAGCGAAAGUGACGGUACCUGCAGAAGAAGCGCCGGCUAACUACGUGCCAGCAGCCGCGGUAAUACGUAGGGCGCAAGCGUUGUCCGGAAUUAUUGGGCG
rnacentral:rRNA from 1 species